GAUGAACGCUAGCGGCAGGCCUAAUACAUGCAAGUCGAGGGAGAUUGUUGGAUUCGUCUGACAUGAAACCGGCGCACGGGUGCGUAACACGUAUGCAACCUACCUUUAACUGGGGUACAGCUCAGAGAAAUCUGAAUUAAUCCCCCAUAAGACUACGACAUGGCAUCAUGAUGUAGUUAAAGCUCCGGCGGUUAAGGAUGGGCAUGCGGUACAUUAGCUAGUUGGUGAGGUAAUGGCUCACCAAGGCUACGAUGUAUAGGGGGUCUGAGAGGAUGAUCCCCCACACUGGUACUGAGACACGGACCAGACUCCUACGGGAGGCAGCAGUAGGGAAUAUUGGUCAAUGGGCGCAAGUCUGAACCAGCCAUGCCGCGUGAAGGAUGAAGGCCCUAUGGGUCGUAAACUUCUUUUAUUAGGGAAGAAAAAAUGGGAUGCGUCCUAUACUGACGGUACUUAAUGAAUAAGGAUCGGCUAACUUCGUGCCAGCAGCCGCGGUAAGACGAAGGAUCCAAGCGUUGUCCGGAUUUACUGGGUUUAAAGGGUGCGUAGGCGGAAAAUUAAGUCAGUGGUGAAAGCCCGCAGCUCAACUGUGGAACUGCCAUUGAAACUGGUUUUCUUGAAUAUAGCUGAGGCAGAUGGAAUAUAACAUGUAGCGGUGAAAUGCUUAGAUAUGUUAUAGAACACCGAUUGCGAAGGCAGUCUGCUAAACUAUUAUUGACGCUGAGGCACGAAAGCGUGGGGAGCGAACAGGAUUAGAUACCCUGGUAGUCCACGCCCUAAACGUUGAUUACUCGCUAUUGGCGAUAUACUGUCAGUGGCUAAGCGAAAGCAUUAAGUAAUCCACCUGGGAAGUACGACCGCAAGGUUGAAACUCAAAGGAAUUGACGGGGGCCCGCACAAGCGGAGGAGCAUGUGGUUUAAUUCGAUGAUACGCGAGAAACCUUACCUGGGCUUAAAUGUCAGGUGACCGCUGCCGAAAGGUAGGCU
rnacentral:rRNA from 1 species